CUUGCUUCUAUCGAACCGUUUUAGAAACAUCAGUGGCCAACGAUCGUCAGGAUUGUUGAGCUGCAUUGGCGGGAUUUCGCCGUCUUCGUUUCUCUUUCUUCGCGGACGAACACGCGCUGGGGCUGCAAGCUUGCAGAAUCCCUGGUCCUUGACUGGAUAUGCGUUAGGGGCUUGUAGCUCAGUUGGUUAGAGCGCGCGCUUGAUAAGCGUGAGGUCGGAAGUUCAAGUCUUCCCAGGCCCACCACACUCAUCGAGUGAGCAUUCGUCUUCUGGUUACGGGGCCAUAGCUCAGCUGGGAGAGCGCGUGCUUUGCAAGCAUGAGGUCGUCGGUUCGAUCCCGUCUGGCUCCACCAGAUGGUUUGAUCAUCGACUGAUCGUGCACCUAAAUCGUCCGCGAAACAUCACUUCGCACUUACUAGUCCGGAUGGACAGUAAGCUGCGUGAUUUCUGACAUCGUAAAGAGGAGAUCGAUCCGAGUUGGAUCGGGCAACAAGCAAUUGUUGCGCGAUACUUCAUUAUCUCCGGAUCAUUUCGGCGCUCGUGCGCCUUUCAAUGUAGCUCACAAGGCUGCGUCUGAGAGGAAUGCGAGUUGUAAAUGAUCCUUUUAGCGAAGCUUGACCGCCUCGCUAUCGGAACGAUCUUACGAAGCAAGCUGGUCUUUCUAAUCAUUGUCCGGCUGCAGAUAGCGUUCAUCGAGGGCGCGUGCCGCAAGGUAAUUCUGCAGACAACAUUCUGCCGAGUGUGUGGACAUUGAUAAUGAGAGCAAUCAAGUGCCUUAAGGGUGUUCGGUGGAUGCCUUGGCGCUGAGAGGCGAUGAAGGACGUGCUACGCUGCGAUAAGCCGUGGGGAGCUGCGAAGAAGCUUUGAUCCAUGGAUUUCCGAAUGGGGAAACCCACCUUCGAUAGCCGGAACUCCAAGACCUUUGUCGAAAGACAUUG
rnacentral:misc_RNA from 1 species